GCCAGCUCAGCACGGCCGUCUAGUUUCCAUGAAGGCUGAUGACCACAGAGAAACUGAGAGGAUGGGGGAGGCAGAGACGCCUGGAGCUGGGCCUCACCACUCAGGAAGCUCCCCAGCGGCCCCAGCCCAGAGCCGGAGCCCAGCAGCGCCGGCCAGCCAGCCCCAGCCCUGCAGGAAGCCGUGGAGCCGACGGCAGCUUCAGAUACAGGAUCGUCUCCUUCCAAAAGUCACAGGAAAUGUUAAGAAAAUGUAUCAAGCUCUGAAAACAUGCGAUACAGGAUAGCUUUCCUUUUUCUGAAUUAAAAAACAAAACAAAACUGACCAACUCUGGAGUUCCUGUGAGGACUCUGCUCUGUGGCA